UACGGAGGGGGCUAGCGUUGUUCGGAAUCACUGGGCGUAAAGGGCGCGUAGGCGGCCUCAGGUGUCGGAUGUGAAAGCCCGGGGCUCAACCCCGGAGGUGCAUCCGAAACUCUGGGGCUGGAGGUCGGAAGAGGAGGGUGGAAUACCCAGUGUAGAGGUGAAAUUCGUAGAUAUUGGGUGGAACACCGGUGGCGAAAGCGGCUCUCUGGUCCGGACCUGACGCUGAGGCGCGAAAGCGUGGGGAGCAAACAGG
rnacentral:rRNA from 1 species